GUCCGACUUACAGCUUCAUAUUGCCAGUGAGUACCAGUCUGUUCUGCCAGAGCACAAUGAUCCUCAGUUGGUACCGACCUGUGAUUCACAGUACAAGUGUCCCCUUUGUGAAAAGAAGGGAGACUUGUGUAAGCUGGUCCCUCAUUUACAGGGCCACAAGCGAAACACAGUUAAACAUGCAGUGCUUCAAUCUAGAGAGAGCCUUCUACUCAAAUGUACUCUAUUGUGACCAGCCCAGGAAAAGGAGAACACACACAGACAGUAGU